AUAUGGCGGUUUAUGGUGGCGGCGCGCGUACCUGGCUGGUGCUCGAACUGUCUUUAGCUCCAGUUUCUGGUGUUUGCGAUGACAAGUUAGCGCUCACUGACGGCGUAAAAUCACUCUUGCAACUGGAGUGAGACUGAAGAGUUUGUAACAUUUGGUGCUUGGCCCUGGCUCGUUUGGAACACUGCUGCUGAUGGUGAACCUUAGGGACCGCGGAAGUAUCCUUCAGCCUGUGAUAUAUGCAACAGUAGCAGUCAAGACUCUCGGAACGAUGGCCGUGCGCGCAAGCGCCCAUUCUUCAACAUGCACAAUCUUUCUUCGAACGCCAAUUACCAGUGCACCUCGUGUCCACACGAUGAUGGUGUACAGAGGAUGGUAGAGAGAAAGUGAAGCCCAAUAUUUAGGAACUGCACAAGCCCUUUGCAUCUUUGCUUGCUUAUGCGGAUAUGAUCCAGUCCUGGUGAUAUUUUUUGCGUCACUGGACCAGACGCUGCCUUUUUCGGCACUAUCAGCCAAGACAGAUGCCCGACUUUCCAUGUGUGACCAGCAAACACAGUCUCUCCCCGUGUUUGUAAGUGGCUGCACGAUCCACUGCAACAUGUGCAGCUUCUCCACAGCGCAGGUGGGAACCAUGGAGCAGCACCAGCUCACGCACACAGGGGAACGACCUUUUGUGUGCAACUACUGCCCUCGCACAUUUGCACGCUGCUACGACCUCAAGAUGCAUGUGCGCAUCCACACAGAUGAGCGACCCUACUCGUGCCCUAUCUGCCCGUCGACGUUUCACCAGAAGUCGAACCUGCAGCGCCACAUGGUGUCCCACACAGACGAACGACCCUACAAGUGUAAGCGCUGCACACGGUCAUACCGCAGCUCUUCGGCACUCGACUACCACGUGAAACGGUGCACGGUUCCCAUGGAGAUGCCACCUGCGUGAAUGCCUGCCUUGGCAUGCACGUGUGCAUGUGAUUUCCUGUGCUCACCUUAAAAAUGACGGUAGUAUACGAACUGGCCACAGUGCACAAGGACACCUCUGAAGGCUGAGAUUCUACAGGAGCCGAAACUAACUGACAUCGUUUGAUACAACAGUUCACGUCCGUGUGUGCAGUCCAUCCUGUGGCAGCCUGCGCAGUGAUGUGCACCUUAAAGUGGCUGCAGUUGCCAAGGCCAACUUUAAAAGUUGAUAGGCAGCACAAGUCAGAGACAAGUGUACCCGAGGCUGCACAGCUCACAGUCGUUUAAUUUUGGUUGAGAAAUCGCCACAGUAAAAGCGCGCUUUAGAAUGCACACAGGACAGCACGUAGGCGCAGCCAAGUGCAAAACUUGUAAUGGUAGUCAUGAAGAUAGCAAGUUCCUCUGUGAUGUACGUGUGCCGCCUUUGAGUAAUUCACUUUGGUGCUGUGCACAUUUCCGAUUCUAUUAUGAUGCAUGUGGUCAGUCAAUUGCAAAAGAAACUUUUUAUUUUGUUUUAAUUGGCCUGUUCUCUAAGACGCUGGGAAAAGCAGUGCAUGCAUAUUCUAGUAAACACUUGCAGUGAUCGUGAAACAA